AAGGACUUUUCCAAGAAAUCCACUUCAAUAAGGGAGGAAAUCGUUUUAGAGGCAUCAUUUCUAUCGGAAGGGAAAAAAAUAAAAAUAGAAAAAAUGAAAAUAAAAAUAAAACUCAACCGAAGCCCCUAAUUCAUUCUCACCCAUUCAUCUGCGACUUUGAAUUUUUCUCUCGUUUCUCAAUGAUUCUCUGGUAAGAUUUUGUUUCAAAAUCUAUUUGGAAUAGUCCAAGCUUGAUUUUUUCCAGGAAUUCUUUUGACGGUGUGAAACAACCCAUUGUAUAUUUGAUUGUUUUGUAUCUUGAUGAUUUCCAUUGGUGUUCUUGGUAAAAGUAUGUGAUUAAUCAGAGAGAACCUUGCCUACUUUUGAAGAAUCUGGGCUUUUAUGGUAAUCUCUUCCCUCUUUUGAAGGUUUUUAGGUCCAAAAUUUCAAUUAAUUUCGAUAGAAAGGGUUAGAUUUCAAUUAAUUUUUACUGAAAGGGUUUUUAGGUGCUGUGCAUUUCUUGUAUUCUAUGUGCUCUUGUAUAUUUUCAAAUUUUGCAUUUGUUGAAAAAUGUUUUGUUCUUCUUAUGUUUCUAUUUCUUUUCCUAUGGUAUUUAAAGUUUUCGCCAUUUCAAUUAUUUAUGUAAGUAUGAAACUUUUGGAAAAGAACAAUGCUUCUUUUCAAAUUUGUGGCCCCAAGUUAUUGGGUAUUUGUGUUUUAUAUGAACGAUAUGACAGUAAAGGUAUCAUUGCUGUUUUCAGAUACUUGUUAUUGUUUGGGGUCAUAUUUUGAAAUGGUUAACCUGUUGUGUGACCUAUUUCAAAGUAGUUUGCUGUUUAAAGAUGUUUGAACUCAUUUAUUUGGUAGUUUAGUGACUGAAGGUGAUAUUUGUGAAUGAAAUUAUAUUUGUUACAAGUUGAAUGGACGGUUGCUUCAAUCCAUUUUCUCUUAUGUUGAUAUCAUUGUUUUGCUGGAAAUGUUAUAUUAUGGAGAAGUGAUGUUUUAUUGAAAGUGUCCGCUAAUUUUGUCUUGGGAGAAUAGAUGAUGGAAAAAGUGGAAAGUAAUUCUUUGAUUGACUUCGAAAAUGUCAACAUGGAGUACAAUAUGAAUGUAGUUGAAAGUCAAACGGUGGGAGGAGAUGGAGUGAUUGUGCCAGUGGUUGGUAUGAAGUUCAAGAACGAAAAUGAAAUCUUCGAUUUUUACAAGUUAUAUGCUUACGACAUAGGUUUUUCAAUGAGAAAAAGGAAUUCGAGAAAGGAUGACGAUGGAGUUUUGCAAUACGUGACUUUCACAUGUAGAGGUCGAAAAAGUGAUAGCACAAGCGGUUCUUUGAAACCACAGCCUACAAUUCAAAUGGGUUGUAAAGCCAGGGUCUCUGUGUCUGCAGAUAAUCAUGGUUACUAGAGAAUUAAUAUGGUACACCUCGAUCACAAUCACAAAACAAGUCCAACGAAGUGGAGAUUGUAUCGAUGCAAUUGAUAACUAAGUGCGAUUGUGAAAAGGAAGCUUGAAGUGAAUGACAUGGCUAGAAUUCCAUUGUACAAAAAUUUCAAUUCUGUAGUUGUCGAAGUCGAUGGAUAUGAAAAUAUGACAUGCAUUGAAAAAGAUUGUAGAAACUACAUUAAACAAUUUAGGCGAUUAAGCCUUGGAGAAGGAAAUGCAGGAGCAAUAUAGUCCUAUUUUUCAAAUAUGCAAGCACGGUCUGCAGGAUUUUACUUCUGUAUGGAUUUGGACAACGACUCGAGUUUAAGAAUGUAUUUUGGGCAAAUAAUCGAUAUAGGGAAGCAUAUAAGGAGUUUGGGGACAUCGUGACGUUUGAUACCACUUACUUGACUAACAGAUAUGACAUGCCUUUAGCACCUUUUGUUGGCGUCAAUCACCAUGGACAAUCAACAUUGUUCAGUAGUGGUUUAGUCUCUAAUGAAAGCACGGAUACAUUUGUGUGGUUUUUUAGGACAUGACCUAAAUGUAUGCACGAUCAAGCUCCACAUGAAAUAAUUAUUGAUCAAGACAUGGCAAUGCAAAUGUCAUUCAGGUAGUUUUCUCAAAUACAAAGUAUAGAUGGUGCUAAUGACACAUUCUGAAGAAGUUACCUGAAAAAUUUGGGUACCACAUCGAUAAAGGUUCAAUAUUCUCAGUAAUAAAUGGUUCGGUGUAGGAUUGUCAGACGAUUGAAGAAUUUGAACAAGGUCGGGGAUCGAUGAUCUAAACAUUUGAGUUGCAUGAUAACGACUGGUUGUCGGGGUUAUAUGAGAACAAAGGUCAUUGUGUCCUUUGCUUCUUAAAAACAAAUUUUUGGAUUGGGUCAACCAAGUGAGAGCAUGAACGUAUUUUUCAAUGGGUACUUGCACUCGAAGACAUCGUUGAAACGAAUUGUUGAAUAGUAUGAGCGAGCAUUGAGGAACAAGGUGGAGAAGGAGCUCCAUGCUAAUUUCAAGUCGUUCUCUCAAAUGGUUCCGAGUGCAACAACAUGUGAAAUGGAAAAGCAAUUUCAAAAAGUCUACACAAUUUCAAAAUUCAAAGAAGUUCUAGCUAAGUUUACGGAUAAGGUUUACUGUGACCUCAUAUCUGCCUCUGAGGAAUGUUUUGGGACGACAUAUGAGGAACGAGAGAAUGUCGUUUGCAUCGAUCGACGUGAAAAGAAAACAUUUUGUCUCGUUUCAGAGAGAUAAACUUGAAGUUGUUUGUAGUUGCCACUUGUUCGAGUUUCACUAAAUAAUUUGCAGGCAUGUGAUCAUAGUAUUAAUCCGUAACGACGUUACUAUACUACCUAAUAAGUAUGUACUUUGUAGGUGAAUGAGGGAUGUCAAUAGACUGUACACGAGGAUCGCAAUAAAAUAUGAUGAUCUAGUAAGUACUCUGGGAUAGUUGAAGUAUGACAUAAGUGUUAAGCUUUCGCCGAGGUGGUAAACCUUGUGGCACAUGUUGAAUUACGGACCUAUGCGAUAAUGAAAUGGAUACAAGUUUAGUCUAAAGAGUUUUUGAUGACAAAAUGGAGUACUAGAAACAAAAUUUUGUAGUCAGCGUACAAUUCAUUUAGGAUUGUGGAGCAUUGGUUCACAAAAUGCGUACAACAUGAGCGCGUUGGAUCCUAAAGUGGUAAAGAGAAAUAGCACACCUAGAAACUUCAGAGGAAGGGCCCGUUGGAGUCGACUUCGAAGAAGACAAAGGUAUUUUGAUUUGUUUUCCUACAAACUUCAAGUGAAUAUUAAAAAUAAUUAUCGUUUAUUUCAAAUGGACAUGCAAGCACCUUCAACAUGCGAAGGGAAGCGACCAACAGCGAGGCAUAGCAGUAUACCAGUGGGUGCACCUCAUGUUGAUGCAGCUUAACGAGAAGAAUCUUCCACAUAUUCACCAUUCACAUAUUCACAACUCUUGGUGGUUGGUAUACUUAUUAUAGCAUUUUCAUUUAUUUAUUAUAGCAUUUUCAUUACUUCUUUGUUACUUACUAUAGAGCCACAAGGGAUGUCAUUUGUUCACACAUCCCUGUCCUUCAUCUAAUUGGAUCCAUCCGUUGUCGACACAUUUUAUAUUCAAUUCCAAAGGUAACAUUAUUGAUAGGAACUUAAAUGCAAUCUACGUUAUAAUGUCCUUUUGACUUCUUAAUUUUCAUGUUGUAUGUUAGGUCACGGUAUUCCAUACUUCUAUCAACAUUUACCGCAUCAAAGAAGCAUGUGAUUGUGACGGGACAAAGUCAAUGGAGGGACAUAGCUAAACAAAUUUGAGUAUGGUUGAUGAAAUGCUAGUAGUAGAUAUUGUCCAUAAUCUUAUAAGUUUAUAGUGUACCUAUGGAGAGAACAAGAAUGGUGGAAUCUGAUUUAAAUUGUUAACUUGAUAAAUGUAGCGACCAUAACAUUAGCUAUAAUGGCAUAUCAUUCGUAAUUAUAAAACUUUGCUUUGGUUUUUAUCCUAAAUUUGCUAAAAGUUUCGGUGAUUACAUUCCAUUCACCCCACCUCCAUUAUCUGUCUUUUUCUCAUUGCGUCCUUGCUUCGCAAAUUAGGCCAUUAGCAGCUCCUAUGCUUAAUGUAUCAGAAUUUGCAACUCCUCGGCUUGUAAUGAAUUUCUCAACAAGUGGAGGACUUGCAAAUUCUGAUACAUUAAGCAUAGGAUUUGCUAAUGGCCUAAUUUGCGAAGCAAGGAAGCAAUGAGAAAAAGACGGAUAAUGGAGGUGGGGCGGAUGGGGCAUAAUCACAAAAACUUUCAGCAAAAUAAUGAUAUCAACAUAAGAGAAAAGGAUUGAAGCAACCAUUCAUUGUUGAACUUGUAACAAAUGUAAUUUCAUUCACAAAUAUCACCUUCAGUCACUAUACUACCAAGUAAAUGAGUUCAAACAUCAUAAAACAGCAAACUAUUUCGAAAUAGGUCACACAAUAUGUUAACCAUUUUAGAAUAUGACCCCAAACAAUAAAAAGUAUCCGAAAACAGCAAUGAUACCUUUAUUGCCAUAUCGUUCAUCUAAAACACAAAUACCCAAUAACUUGGGGCUACAGGUCUUCAAAAUAAGGCAAUGUUCUUUUCCAAAAGUCCUACACUUACAUAAAGAACUGAAAUGACGAAAACUUAAAAUACCGCAAAAAAAGAAAUAGAAACAUAAGAAGGACGAAACAUUUUUCACAAAUGCAAAAUUUGAAAAUAUACGAGAGCACAUAGAAUACAAGAAAUGCACAGCACCUAAAAACACUUUUAGUACUAAUUAAUUGAAAUCUAAACCUUUCUAUAAAAAUUAAUUGAAAUUUUGGACCUCAAAACCUUCGAAAGAGGCAAGAGAUUACCAAGAUUCUUCAAAAGCAGGUAAGGUCUCUCCGAUUAAUCACAUAAUGCUACCAAGAACAUCAACGGAAAUUGCUGAGAUACGAAACAAUCAAAUAGACAAUGGGUUGUUUCACACCGUCAAAAGAAUUCGUGGAAAAAAUCAAACUUGGACUAUUCCAAACAGAUUUUGAAAUAAAAUCUUAAAUAGCCUAGAGAAUCACCAAGAAACGAGAGAAAAAAUUGAAGUUGCAGAUGAAUGGGUGAGAAUGAAUUAGGGGCUUCGGUUGAGUUUUUUUCUUCCGAUAGACGCCUCUAAAAUGAUUUCCCGACUUACU
rnacentral:lncRNA from 1 species